rnacentral:rRNA from 1 species
CAGAGGAGCCAAGCGUUGUCCGGAUUGACUGGGCGUAAAGCGCACGCAGGUGGUCGUGCAAGUGUCGUGUGAAAGCAGCUCGCUCAACGAGCUGAGGCAUGGCAGACUGCAUAACUCGAGCCCGUGAGAGGUCGGUGGAAUUGCCGGUGUAGUGGUGAAAUGCGUAGAGAUCGGCAGGAACACCCAGGGGGAAACCAGCCGACUGGCACGGUGCUGACACUGAGGUGCGAGAGCGUGGGGAGCAAACGGGAUUAGAUACCCCGGUAGUCCACGCCGUAAACGAUGGAUACUCGCCUUAUGGCGGCUCAAUGCCGUUGUGGGCCAAGUUAACACGCUAAGUAUCCCGCCUGGGAACUACGAGCGCAAGCUUA